UAUAGGCUUUUGUGUUCCAAUUCAAUUAGUUAGUUUCCUUUUAUUGUACAUUGCAGUCCUAUUCAGAAUAUUUGUAAGAGACUUGUGAGAUUGUCUCUCGUUUUGUAUUAAAGCAACCCCAAAUCCUUUCAGUCAGCCAGUAGACAUGGAUUGAAGGAUCUACAGUGUUUGAAUCGUAAAAUAAACGCAUGUAAAAACACAAGUCUUGGCUGAUUCAUCAUUCAAACACUACGAUGUCGCCGAGGAACCGAGACGGACGUCGGAAGGAGCGUUUACCGACGGGAACCCGAGGCGGACGUUGGAAGUAGCGUUUACCGACGAGAAUCCGAGGCGGGCGUCGGAGGCAGCGUUUAUCGACGAGACUCCGUGGCAGACAUCGUAGGCGGUAUUUACCGGCGGGAAUCCGAGGCAAACGUCGGAGGUAGCGGCUACGGCAUUCAGGCGGAGGAGAGCUGGACUACUAGGGGAAGCGACAAAAAGACCGGCUGAACUAAGACUAUUGCUGACAGCUACUGAUGAUAGGCUAGAGCUGAGUGAUUGUUAUAAUCGUUAUAAGGCAAAACGCCUGGAAAAAUGCAUCGUAAAACCUUUAAGAAGUUCGUGGACAGUCACGAGAGGUGUAUUGUUUAAGAAAAGGAUGACGUCAAAGCUAAGCAGAUGGAGAAAUCCUACAGAGAAUGUUUAGAGACAAAACAAGUGUUGGAGACUCGAAUGGCGGCGUUGGAGGCGCAAAGCUCGAGGGGUUCAAGGCUGGACUUAGAACUUCUUCAAAAGAGACAAGAGUUGGAGCGACAGCUAGAGGAAGAAGAGGCGGAAGAGGAAAAGCGGAUGAUGCUGCAACGAGCCGAAGAGGAAAAGCGGAUGAUGCUGCGACGAGCCGAAGAGGAAAAGCGGAUGAAGCUGCGAUGAGCCGAAGAGGAAACGCGUUUUAGGAUACGCCAAGCGGUAGCAAGGCAAAGAUUACAGAUGUUCAAUGCGGAGGCAGAGCUACAGAGAGCGAAGUUGAAGUCUGAGCGAGGCUCUGUGUGUACGUCAUCAGGGAAGAAAUCGGAAUUCUGAUCUUGGAACGAAAAAAGGAAAGCGGAAGUCGGAUUUUGGAAGGAACAGAGGAAAACCGGACGUCGGAUCUUGGAACGAAAAAAGGAAACCGGAAGUAAAGACGUGGCUACAAGAUGUCAAUCCCGGAACCAAGAUUCCCGAUAGUGGGCAACCUGUGGACCCUUGGAUGGAGGUAGUGAGAGCAAUUCGCCAAGGCCCUUCUCUUCCAAGACUGGAACAUCUAAAAUUCUCCCUAGACCCGCUAGAAUUCGCCACGUUCAAGACCAACUUUAGAGAAAACAUCGAGAAUAAGUUUCAAGACGGACAUAGGAAACAAAUGGAAUGAAAUGUUCCAAUUCUCAAUAUAUAAGUUCAAGAUUCCGCAUACAAGGAGUUCCUCUGACCAAAAACUUAAUU